UUUGAUCCUGGCUCAGGACGAACGCUGGCGGCGUGCCUAAUACAUGCAAUUCAAACGCGUCUCCGUUAAUGACUUUAGGUGCUUGCACUUGAUAGAUUUAACAUUGAGACGAGUGGCGAACUGGUGAGUAACACGUGGGUAACCUGCCCUUGAAGUAGGGGAUAACACUUGGAAACAGGUGCUAAUACCGUAUAACAACCAAAACCACCUGGUUUUGGUUUAAAAGACGGCUUCGGCUGUCACUUUAGGAUGGACCCGCGGCGUAUUAGCUUGUUGGUAAGGUAACGGCCUACCAAGGCGAUGAUACGUAGCCGACCUGAGAGGGUAAUCGGCCACAUUGGGACUGAGACACGGCCCAAACUCCUACGGGAGGCAGCAGUAGGGAAUCUUCCACAAUGGACGAAAGUCUGAUGGAGCAACGCCGCGUGAGUGAUGAAGGGUUUCGGCUCGUAAAACUCUGUUGUUGGAGAAGAACAGGUGUCAGAGUAACUGUUGACAUCUUGACGGUAUCCAACCAGAAAGCCACGGCUAACUACGUGCCAGCAGCCGCGGUAAUACGUAGGUGG
rnacentral:rRNA from 1 species